UACGUAGGUCCCGAGCGUUGUCCGGAUUUAUUGGGCGUAAAGCGAGCGCAGGCGGUUUAAUAAGUCUGAAGUUAAAGGCAGUGGCUUAACCAUUGUUCGCUUUGGAAACUGUUAGACUUGAGUGCAGAAGGGGAGAGUGGAAUUCCAUGUGUAGCGGUGAAAUGCGUAGAUAUAUGGAGGAACACCGGUGGCGAAAGCGGCUCUCUGGUCUGUAACUGACGCUGAGGCUCGAAAGCGUGGGGAGCAAACAGGAUUAGAUACCCGGUAGUCC
rnacentral:rRNA from 1 species